rnacentral:snRNA from 1 species
GUAUUGCUUCGGCAAUACAUAUACUAAAAUUGGAACGAUACAGAGAAGAUUAGCAUGGCCCCCUGCGCAAGGAUGACAUGCAAAUUCGUGAAGCGUUCCAUAUUUUU